rnacentral:lncRNA from 1 species
AGUCCACUGCCCUAACCACUGGGCCAUUGCGCCUCCUGUUGUCUCACUGUACGUGACAUAAACGGCUCUCACCGCAGAAACAGAAAUAUAAGCGCACGCAAGCACAUACGUUAGUAUUUAUGUAAACACAUGAACCCUCGUUUGUAGCAUGUUUACGUCGUAUCACGUGACCCGAAUUGACCAAUGAAAAUCCAAUAAAUCCACUUGUGUCUUAUUCCUCCAUUAUACUUCUAAUUUGUUAAUUGCAUCUUUUUACCGUUUCAUUUCUUUCCCCUUUUCGUUCAAUAAGUUAUUAAAUGGGAACACCCAGUUAACAUUAUCAGUUUUAUACACGACUGACUUCUCUACAGUUUUCAACCAAUUCCCACUGGCAGGAUAUCUUUCAAUUUAACACUUGCAACAGCGACAACUAAAGAUUACAGUAUAUUAAUUGUUUAUAGCAACUGGUCAUGCCACGAACUCCAGACGCGAAAGAAUUGUCAGAUUUUCAAAGAGGACGUAUCGUGGGUCAGUCUGAUAGUGGACGUAGCCAGCGUAAGAUUGCACAAAGCCUUGGAAUUCCUCUUGCCACGGUGAACAGAGUGAUUGUACAGUUCACCAGCGAAGGAAAGGAAUCAACUGCCUCCCGCUCAGGUCGACCUGGGCCCUCUGAUAAAUGUCUUCAGACUGUUGAACAGAUUGUUGAAAAUAAUCCACAUUGUAAGGCAGCUGAUGUUGCAGAGCAACUCCAAAAGAGUCGGAGUACUUCUGUGAGGUAUCUUCAUCAACUUGGCUACUACGGUAAAGUAGCAAGAAGGAAACCCUCUUUGACCCACAGAUAUCCAAAGGAUUGGACAAAUAAGGUGGUAGAGAGAGCCAAAUGGGUUAAAACAUUAAAACCUACAGAAGAAAUCUCAACUACAUCCUAAAUGAAUUAUUUAAACGCAUCAUAUAACAUUAUUUUCGUUCUUGAAAUUAAAUCCUUCAAAAAAA